rnacentral:rRNA from 1 species
AUGGAUGCUUCUCUUCGAGAUUCUGAUUUUGAACACUUGCAGAUUAUCAAGAAUGAAGAUCUUGAGGAGCUUAGGGAACUUGGUUCUAGUACUUUCGAAACUGUUUACCAUGGGAAAUGGAGAGGAACUGAUGUGGCUAUCAAGCGCAUCAAGAAAAGCUGUUUUACAGGACGAUCAUCUGAGCAAGAAAGGCUGUUAGUUUUUCCCACAUUUUGGAAAGAACCAUGCACAAAGGAAACAAACACUUCAUUUGAUCAUCAUUGGAGUAUUUGCAAACAAGGUAGCAAUACUCUGAUGGAGUACCUUCUUCAGAGUGCAAAUAGCACCAGCAGCAGCAGUCACGGCGGGAGUCAACAGCAACAAUAG